rnacentral:rRNA from 1 species
GAUGAACGCUGGCGGCGUGCCUAAUACAUGCAAGUCGAGCGAAGGAGGGACGGGGGAGGAAGACGGAGAUAAACUGCUAUAAGACUGGGAUAAAGGCGGGAAACCGGAGGUAAAGCGGAUACUUAGAGAUGGAUGAUCGAUGCAUUAGCUAGUUGGUAAGGUAACGGCUUACCAAGGCAACGAUGCAGAGCCGACCUGAGAGGGUGAUCGGCCACACUGGAACUGAGACACGGCCCAGACUCCUACGGGAGGCAGCAGUAGGGAAUCUUCCGCAAUGGGCGAAAGCCUGACGGAGCAACGCCGCGUGAGUGAUGAAGGUUUUCGGAUCGUAAAACUCUGUUAUUAGGGAAGCGGUACCUAACCAGAAAGCCACGGCUAACUACGUGCCAGCCGCCGCGGUAAUUC